AGGAAAUUAAAGUACUAACGGUGAGCCAGACGCCACGGCUCGUCACACGCACACAGCAAGCUCUGAAUUCUAGUGAGCUCUUGUUUCAGUAAAUUCAGCUUACUGUGUCUUUUCACAAAAUAACAACUACCGGGAAGUGCUUUCUGUUCUGAAUUCUCAAAUGAAAAAUAAAACCUUGGGCUCCAGCUGAAAGGUGGAAUCUGCCAUUCGAUUCCUAACACAGGGAGUGGAGUUGGAGUGAGAGAACAUGAAGCCAGCUCUACAAUUUUUGCAUUGUAUAAUGUUUUCCACGAACUUGGCAGAAGCCCACAAAGGAAAGACAGUUGGUGCUUAGGAGCUAGCCUUGAUUUUCUGCUUGGGACGGGAUUCCAGUUUUGAAUGUUUCCCAAGAUGUGUUUCACGGGAGAGUUUAUUUUGUCUACAGUAUCCCCAAGGAAGCUUGUGGUUAAUGAUGUGCUCCUGCAGGCGCCUGGCAGCCAAGGGGACCAGAAGAACAGAAGAGGCGCCCUGAUUGGCUCCUGGGAUUACAGCUUUAUUAAUGCGCUCUGACAGCCUGUCUGUCACUAGCGCCAAGCGGAGAACAUUAACUUGAACCUGACAGCUCCACCCCCCAGAGAAAAUGAGGGCCUAAUGUGUUAUAAAUCAAGCUGGCUUUUGAAAUCAAUAUUCCUAAAAAAAUACUACUGGAAGAAAACACAUUCCUAUUACUCAGAGUGUUGACAUAUUUAUUAAAGUAGCAUAAAGGCCACUGAGUUAGUCACUAAAAAAUAGAAAUGAAAAUGUGACUAUCAAUUGAAACUUAGACGUUUCUACCUUUAUGUUUCUCUUUUUUUUUUUUUUCUGUAUCAGGUUCACACAUUGCAAAGUAAAUGGGAGCUAUUUAGCAAAUGGCCAGUUCCUUUCAUCAAUGGAGUAUGAAAUUCUGGUAGCUCAAGGCUCAAGGCUCAAGGUUUUGAAUAGGCACCAUUUUUGGCUGACUACUUUGCCUAAAUCAUGCAGUGCUCAAUAGACCUGAAUGUAGAUAGACUGUACACUAAGAAAUCAGUUCUCCUGAAGACAUUUGUUCUCCCAGGUGAAUGUAUGUGUGUGAAGUGCAAACGGGAGGUACAGCAAAUAACAGCAGAAAAAGAAUAUGUAGAAAUAGUUCUGACGGAGAGAAAGAAGUUUCUUUCUUCAAAAGAAACUUUAUGUUUUGAGAUAAUUGUAGAUUUCACAUGCAUUUGUAAGAAAUAAUGCAGUUACCCAGUUUCCUCCAGUGGUAACAUCUUGCAAAACUGUAGUGCAACAUCCAGACCAGGAGAUUGACAUUGAUAACGUCAAGAUACGAACAUUUCCGUCACCACAAAGAUAUCUCAUGUGGCCCUUUUAUAACAACAUCCAUUUUCCUCUAGCCUCCAAAUUACCCCUGAGAAUCACUAAUCUUUCUCUACUUUUAUAAUUUUCUUAUUUUAAGAAUUUGGGAAAUUGUUAGCCAGUAUUUCUUCAAGUACAUUUUCAGCUCUUCCCUCUUUCUUCUCUCUUUCUGAAACUCUGAUGACACGAAUGUUAGAUCUUUUAUUAUAGUUCCACAUGUCCCUGAGGCUCUAUUCAUGUUUUUCAGUCUAUUUUCUCCGUGUUCAGAUGGAUAAUAUCUAUUGAUUUAUCCUCCAAUUCAAUGAUUUGUUCCUGUGUCUCUUCCAUUCUGAUAUUUAGCCCAUUCACUGAGCAUUUUAUUUCAGUUCUAUUUUUCAGCUCUGAAGUGCCCAUUUGGUUCUUGUUAAUAUCUUCUAUUUCUUUGCUGAAGCUUUCUGCUUUUUCAUUUGUUAUAAGCAUAUGUGUAAUUUACUCAUAGAAUAAAUGUUUGUACCACGCUUGAAA